GACGAACGCUGGCGGCGUGCUUAACACAUGCAAGUCGAACGGAAAGGCCCCUUUUUGGGUACUCGCUUGGCUAACGAGUGAGUAACACGUGAGUAACCUGCCCUUGACUUCGGGAUAACUUCCUUCAACUGGGGCUAAUACCUAAUAGGAAUCCUUUCUUCAUGCUUGGGGUUGGUAAGCUUCGGGGGUUGGGUAUGGACUCGCGGCUUAUAAGCUUGUUGGUGGGGUAGUGGCUUACUAAGGUUUUGAUGGGUAGCGGGCCGGAGAGGGCGACCGGCAAAAUGGGGCUGGAGAUAGGGCCAGGAUUCUACGGGAGGGAGGAGGGGGGAAUAUUGGAAAAUGGGGGGAAGGCUGAUGGAACAAAGGCGGGGGGGGGAUGAAGGGCUUCGGGGUGUAAAACGCUUUCAGCAGGGGAGGAGCUGGGAGUGACGGUACCGGCAGAAGAAGCACCGGCUAACUACGUG
rnacentral:rRNA from 1 species